GUAAAGCGCACGCAGGCGGUCUGUCAAGUCGGAUGUGAAAUCCCCGGGCUCAACCUGGGAACUGCAUUCGAAACUGGCAGGCUAGAGUCUUGUAGAGGGGGGUAGAAUUCCAGGUGUAGCGGUGAAAUGCGUAGAGAUCUGGAGGAAUACCGGUGGCGAAGGCGGCCCCCUGGACAAAGACUGACGCUCAGGUGCGAAAGCGUGGGGAGCAAACAGGAUUAGAUACCCUGGUAGUCCACGCCGUAAACGAUGUCGACUUGGAGGUUGUGCCCUUGAGGCGUGGCUUCCGGAGCUAACGCGUUAAGUCGACCGCCUGGGGAGUACGGCCGCAAGGUUAAAACUCAAAUGAAUUGACGGGGGCCCGCACAAGCGGUGGAGCAUGUGGUUUAAUUCGAUGCAACGCGAAGAACCUUACCUACUCU
rnacentral:rRNA from 1 species